CCUACGGGGGGCUGCAGUGAGGAAUAUUGGUCAAUGGUCGGGAGACUGAACCAGCCAAGCCGCGUGAGGGAUGAAGGUACAGAGUAUCGUAAACCUCUUUUGUCAGGGAACAAAGGCGGGGACGUGUCCCCGGAUGAGUGUACCUGAAGAAACAGCAUCGGCUAACUCCGUGCCAGCAGCCGCGGUAAUACGGAGGAUGCGAGCGUUAUCCGGCUUUAUGGUGGUUAAAGGGUGCGCAGGCGGUCUGUUAAGUCAGCGGGCAAAGCCCGGGGCUCAACCCCGGCCCGCCGUUGAAACUGGCAGUCUCGAGUUGGAGAGAAGUAUGCGGAAUGCGCGGUGUAGCGGUGAAAUGCAUAGAUAUCGCGCAGAACUCCGAUUGCGAAGGCAGCAUGCCGGCUCCACACUGACGCUGAGGCACGAAAGCGUGGGUAUCGAACAGGAUUAGAUACCCUAGUAGUC
rnacentral:rRNA from 1 species